rnacentral:snRNA from 1 species
UUAGCUUCUCGGCCUUUUGGCUAACAUCAAGUGUAGAUCUGUUCUGAUUAGCUUCAUAUCUGAUACACCCAUUAGGGACCAAUUAUAAGGAGGCAGCAGUAGCUCAGUCUGUAAGAACUUGAGUUGGGAUUGCACCAAAC